UAUAUAUUAGUGUAAAGUGCACAAGAAGGUUUGAUCUUCUAGGGGGUGGUGAUAAUUCCAUCAUAUAUAA
rnacentral:tRNA from 1 species